UACGUAGGUGGCAAGCGUUGUCCGGAUUUACUGGGCGUAAAGGGCGUGCAGGCGGUCUGUUAAGUGCAGGGUGAAAGCUCCCGGCUCAACUGGGAGAGGUCCUUGCAUACUGGCGGACUUGGAGGGGGGUAGAGGAAAGUGGAAUUCCCGGUGUAGUGGUGAUAUGCGUAGAUAUCGGGAGGAACACCUGUGGCGAAGGCGGCUUUCUGGGCCCUACCUGACGCUGAGACGCGAAAGCGUGGGGAGCGAACCGG
rnacentral:rRNA from 1 species